ACCGAGCUAAUACCGGAUAAUAUUUUGAACCGCAUGGUUCAAAAGUGAAAGACGGUCUUGCUGUCACUUAUAGAUGGAUCCGCGCUGCAUUAGCUAGUUGGUAAGGUAACGGCUUACCAAGGCAACGAUGCAUAGCCGACCUGAGAGGGUGAUCGGCCACACUGGAACUGAGACACGGUCCAG
rnacentral:rRNA from 1 species